GACAGAGGAUGCAAGCGUUAUCCGGAAUGAUUGGGCGUAAAGCGUCUGUAGGUGGCUUUUCAAGUCCGCCGUCAAAUCCCAGGGCUCAACCCUGGACAGGCGGUGGAAACUGCCAAGCUGGAGUACGGUAGGGGCAGAGGGAAUUUCCGGUGGAGCGGUGAAAUGCUUAGAUAUUACAUGGAAUACCAAUUGCGAAGGCAGGUUACUACCAGUGGAUUGACGCUGAUGGACGAAAGCGUGGGGAGCGAACAGG
rnacentral:rRNA from 1 species